UACGAAGGGGGCUAGCGUUGCUCGGAAUUACUGGGCGUAAAGGGCGCGUAGGCGGACAUUUUAAGUUAGAGGUGAAAGCCCAGGGCUCAACCCUGGAAUAGCCUUUAAUACUGGAUGUCUUGAGUUCGGGAGAGGUGAGUGGAACUCCGAGUGUAGAGGUGAAAUUCGUAGAUAUUCGGAAGAACACCAGUGGCGAAGGCGACUCACUGGCCCGAUACUGACGCUGAGGCGCGAAAGCGUGGGGAGCAAACAGG
rnacentral:rRNA from 1 species